rnacentral:rRNA from 1 species
AUUGAACGCUGGCGGCAGGCCUAACACAUGCAAGUCGAACGAGUGGCGUACGGGUGGCUUAUUUCUGGGCAACUUCCUGGUGGAGGGGGACAACUACUGGAAACGAUAGCUACUACCGCCCACCAUCAGAUGUGUCGAGGUGGGAUUAGCUUGUUGGUGGGGUAAAGGCUCACCAAGGCGACGAUCCCUAGCUGGUCUGAGAGGAUGACCAGCCAAACUGGAACUGAGACACGGGCCAGACGCCUACGGGAGGCAGCAGUGGGGAAUAUUGGACAAUGGGCGCAAGCCUGAUGCAGCCAUGCCGCGUGUGUGAAGAAGGCCUUCGGAUUGUAAAGUACUUUCAGCUGGGAGGCGUUACCCACAGAAGAAGCACCGGCUAACUCCGUGCCAGCAGCCGCGGUAAUUC